AGUAACCAGGUGUGUCCUGACGUACAGGACAAAGGUGAGGUGAGGUAUGCCGCUGCUGUGUACAUAUACGUGCCCGACGUUUUUAUUGCAGCAUAAUUUAGGGAACCCGUCGACCAAGAGCGUACGUGCGAGAUUUUAAAGAAAGCAGACCUACUUUCAAGAUGUGGCCACGACCUUAAGGACGCUAUCUACUUGAAGACGAGUUGGUUACUGAUUGAACAUCUUGUAUAGGUUACUCCAGCGGUACUUUAACAGUGAGACUCUUUGAGGAAGUAAAAGGACUGAAAAAAAGGUAGGCCAAGAUGGCGGGUAACAUUCAUGACGACUUCCACAGCCAACUGCUGGCUGGUGAGCGAGAGGAACCGAAGUGGAUGAGGAAGAAGCCGCAGCUCACUGUCCUAACGGACAGCGUGGCCAAGGACGAGUCGUCUGAUGGCACCGAGGUGCACAUGUGUCUGAAGGUGCUGAAGCUAGUACUGUCCAUCUUUGUGGGGUGCGCCUUGCUGGCUUGCCUGGUCUCCACCAAGGUUACGACGAUCAUCAUAGCACAGUCUUUGGCUGAAAAUUGGAACGCAACUAACGCUACGUCUGAAGACAACUUGAACUGGGUCGGUUCGGAGUUAGACGUGAAAAGAGAGACGGCCAUAGUUGCCCUGACCAUCAUCAUCAUGAUGCCGUACCUGCUCACCUUCAUCAGGUGUGUGUGGCGAGGCAGGUGGGGCAAGAACACACCUUGGCCGACCCGGGAGGCACUGCUCUUCGGUGUUCUGACAGCCGUGUUGGAGGUGGUGGGUCUGACGAUGUUCACGGUUGUGGUGAUGGCCCUCGCCCGGAGGUCUCUCAGCAUCGUCCUCAUGAACAGCAUCUUCCUCAUACCCUCCAUGGUCCAGAUCUACCGGCACUCCUCGGCCGUAAAGGGAUGCGCAACGACACUUAAAGAGGGGUGUAAGCAAGCUGGAAACUUCAUGCUUAACACUUUGGCAAUGUUGCUGGCAGCAGGAUCACUGGUGGCAGUGUUGGCUGUGGAGAUCGAUAAUCCCAACAAACAAUGGCAACAGCUUGUGGCGAUCCCCGUGUCUCUGCUGUGCCUCUCCUUCGCAUGGCUGCCGACCUUCCAAGAGGUGCAGACGAUCCAUGCCUUGGAUGAUGAUGAUGAGGAUGAAACCCUGACCAACAAGGCCACCCCGGGAGCGCAGAACGAGGAUGUCAUGAGCAUGCCCACUACCUACAACGUCAACCGCUUGAGGCAGAGUCGUAUCAGUACGACCAUGAGGAAGCUGUCGACCUUAGCACCACCAGUUCGACCCAAGGCAAGAAUGCCUGAUGAAGAGCCAGCCCCAGAAACAACACAGAUGGUGGUCGACGUUGAUCCACUUCCAGUGGAAAGUGCUAGGUGGCGCUGUGGCAUCAUCACAAACUUCCUGAAGCUGCUGCUGACGUUCCCAAUGGUUCUGCUGUGGUAUGUCACUUUCCUGCAAGCUAACCCAUACUCGUUUUGGGACCACUCCAAAGAAAUAUAUGACGGGAUCAUUAACGACAACAGGAUUUUUGUAUCCUUCAUCGUCAACCUGUCGGCUGGUUUCGGUGCCAACCUGUUGGCCUGGAUGGCGUGCUCUAUCAGGAUGGACGUCAUCGGAUUUGUCAUGCCCCUUCUACUGUCCCCCGUGUUCACAGGGCUGUACACCUACAUCAAGGAACUCUGUCUCUUUCCUCUCUUCGGACUGUAUAUUUCUGACAAGGAUUGGCCUGACAUGAUGUGUGAAUUCCAAGUACGAGACGAACUAGACAGAUGGUGGACUGGUGUGGCUGUCAUGAUUGUCGGGUAUUUCACCAUGUUCAUCACCUCAGUGCGGUUCCUCUUCAGGAGCUCUGCUACCAUCAUGGAGAAGGAAGAAAAGCUGUUCUGGUUGCCAGGAUACAACACCAUCUUCCCGGACCAGUGGCUCAUGUUGUCGCGCCGUAACAAGGACACCAGCCCGGAGCUCUAUGAGAGAUCGACACGCAGCAUGAAGAACACAAGAGUCUACAUCUGCACAACUAUGUACCGCGAGAAUGAACAGGAGAUGCAGCAGUUGUUACAGUCCAUCCGGGGUAUCGCAGAGGCUCAGGGUCCAGAGCGUCAGUACGAGUCUCACAUCUUCUUCGAUGGCGGGUGUCAGAAAGGCCAGCCCACAGAGUUUGCCCUGCAGCUGCUGUCACUGACAGACAAGACCAUGGGCUGCACCAAAGAGAAGAAAGGCAUCCUGCGUCAGGCGCAUAAGUGGGCGACCCCAUACGGACUACAGGUGGAGUGGCGGCUGAAGCUGGCUGCCGACAGUCACCGGGAGACGCGCUUCUGUAUCCAUCUCAAGGACAACAGCAAGGUCCGUAACAAGAAGCGAUGGAGCCAGGUCAUGUACAUGUCCUAUGUACUGGAUCAUCUGGUGUAUUAUAGUCCCUUGGGUAUGGAGUCUGGGGCGGUCAAGGACAGGGAGAUUUUGGCCAGCAGUGAAGACAAGGACCAUCAGGCCAAAUGUGCUCGUCUGAACAGCUCCAACUGCUGGAGGACUGAGGGCCACACCGGCCAGACCCACCAGUUUCUGGAGGUGGAUCUAGGUGAGGAGACGGUGGUUACUGGAGUGUCCACCCAGGGGAACCCUAAUGAGAAUGAGUGGGUGGAGAGGUACAGGGUUUCCUACAGGAAGGACAAGGAUGACUUGUGGGAGUACUGCAAGAACAGUGCCAACAGUGACAUGAUAUUCAACGGGAAUGUGGACAACACUACUACAGUCACCCAGCUGUUUCCAACUCCAGUCACUGCACGUUACAUCCGCAUUGAACCGGAUGGUGUCCACGGCCAAUUGGCUUUGCGUGCAGAAAUCCUUGGCUACAGCAGUGAAGAGAGGGACCGUGAUAGCUACAUCCUCUGCACGGAUGCUGACGUCAAAUUCUCCGCGAAGGAUGCCAACGCUCUGCUCGAUGUCAUCACCCGAGAUCCGGCCGUUGGCGCUGUGUGUGGAAGGACUCAUCCCACUGGGUCUGGACCAAUGGUGUGGUACCAGAUCUUCGACUACGCUAUUGGCCACUGGUUUCAAAAGACUGCCAACGACACCCUGGGUACAGUUCUGUGCUGCCCAGGCUGCUUCAGUGUGUACCGAGCCAAGGCCGUGCGGGAGGCUGUGAAGACCUACGCCUCGAAAGUGGACAAGGCAGACGAGUUUCUAACCAAGGACAUGGGAGAGGAUCGCUGGUUCUGUACCCUUUUGGUUGAGCGUGGUUGGCUGCUGAGGUACACGGCUGUGGCAGAAGACACCACCUACUGUCCCGAGGAGUUUGAUGAGUUCUUCAAGCAGCGGCGCAGAUGGACUCCAUCUACCAUCGCCAACCUGGUGCUGUUGAUCCGUACGUGGGGCGAGGGACGAAUGAAGAACCAGAACGUCUCCGUUUUCUUCAUCUUCUACCAGGCCUGUCUGCUGUUCUCCACUCUCAUUGGUCCAGCCACAUGCAUCCUUAUCGUCUCAGGUGGUGUGGAGUACGUGUUUGCAUACUUCACCUACACUCCACUGUUCAUCCAGCUGGCUGCCUGUCUCCUGUAUGCCUGGUGCUGCCUCAACACCUCACAGUCCUUCCAACUACUGCUUGCCAAGGGCCUGACUCUCAUCUACGCCCUCGUCAUGACAUUGGUUGCCAUAGGAACAGCCAAACAGAUUGUCGUGGCCUUCAUCACUAACUCCUCAGCCAGUGGGUUGCCGCAGCGCAUCAUAGCCUGUCCGACGGAAGCUAACAAACUACUCCAGUGUCCUGACAGCCUUGUCCUUAACAUCACCAACGCAACCUACGGAAGAUCUGACCCAUACACGUGCUCAGAUGUGUCCACAGUCUGGAGCUCUAUCUACUGCCCAGAGUACUUUGCUGAGGCAUACAGCCAUGCCGCGACCAAGAAGGUUCUUGAGGACAAAAAUCUUUUCAACUGUAAAGCAAAGGAAAGCUGCAACCUCAUUGCCUCCUCUGAAUACUUUCCCGCAAAUAUAACCAUGGAAGCGUGGUGGAAGAAAAAGCUGAAGAGCCUUCGGACCAGUCCUACCAACCAGUCGGAUCCCUCCCAACCAUCCCGAUGGAAAAGAAAUGCCCCAGAGUUGAGGGCAGGCAGUACUCCACUUCCUAUGACUACACAACUUCAACCCACAGCUACACCCACAGCUACACUCGCAGCUACAGCUACACUCGCAGCUACACCCACAGCUACACUCGCAGCAACACCCACAGCUACACUCGCAGCUACACCCACAGCUACACUUGCAGCUACACCCACAGCUACACUUGCAGCUACAUCCACAGCUACACUCGCAGCUACACCCACAGCUACACUCGCAGCUACAGCUACACUCGCAGCUACACCCACAGCUACACUCGCAGCUACACCCACAGCUACACUCGCAGCUACACCCACAGCUACACUUGCAGCUACACCCACAGCUACACCCACAACUCCGGAUCCACCCACAACUCCACUCAAACCUACCGACCCCCCUCCUCCAGACUGCUCCUCGGUUUACCUGGAGGUCUUCUAUCGAUGCAGACGACCCAGCGGCUUCGACUUUACCGUGGACAUUCCAGCCAACAUCACAGUACUCUACUUCCUCUGUCUCAUUGGAAUCUUCAUAGUGACAGCAUUGGUCCAUCCUUCUGAGUUCUACUGUGUGCUCCACGGCAUUUGGUACCUGUUUUGUCUUCCUGGAGGUUACCUGAUUCUGAUGAUCUACAGCAUUUGUAACAUGACUGACAGAUCAUGGGGAACACGUGAACAAAAAACCUUCAAGACAGGAGGAGGAGGAGGGGGAAGCUGGUUUGACAACUUGAUGGAGAAACUUCGCCAUCUUUGUACCAGCUGCUGUCCCUGGUGCCGACCUGGAGGUGGCUACCAACGCCUCCCGACUUCCGAGCGCGUGAGCGUCGCUAGCACGGCCGCCUCACAAUCAGACGUGGAGGACGACACUGCUGAUGAGGGGGAGGGAGAGACUGACAGUAAGGAGGAGGAAGGCGCGAAGCCAGCAGCCGAUGCUGAUGAGAUACAGGUGGAGGAACAGUCAACCGAGAAGCGACAGAAAUCUGUCGGGUUCACCACACCUGAUGAUCAUGAUGAUGAUGAGGAGGAGGAUCAACCAAGGUCUUUGAAGAGGAAGAAGACUCCGUGGAUUUCAGGAAGGGGUCCGGCUGCCCGCCGCAUCGGCAGUCGGCGUCAAACGAGAACCAGGAGGUAUUCGCAGUACUACAGCAAGGCAGACGUCGUCGUACCUGUACGUGGCUGGUUGGAGAGGUACUUCCCGCGCUGGAAGGCUGAGCUUAAGGACAAGUUGGAAGAGUUCUUCACAAUUCAUGGCUAUGAUGACACCAGCUUUAUUUCUGGCAUGAAGGACCAGGACCUGAUUGACAUCGGCAUGGAAGGAGAUGAGUACAGUUUCCACCGCGUGAAGCUCAUGGGUGAAAUCAAGAAACUCCCAGAGUACAUUGCAGAUUACAAAGUGCCGGAAAACACUCGUGAAUGGCUAAAGUCCAUUGGUCUGCCUCACUACGCAACAAACUUUGAAGACAAGGACGUGGUGACCAAGUGGGACCUGGCUAUCAUCAAGUCCAUGAAAGUAACUGAACUCAACGAGAGGUACGGCAUCACCAAGAAAGCCCAUGUCAAGCGCGUCAUGAAUUCUCUGAAGAACAUGAGAAACCCGAAUGAACGUGAGGCUGACAUUGAGAGGGUGAGGUUCAUCGUGGACCAGCUGGAGCCCAAAGCCAUGUUGGACGCGACGUCGUCCCGGCUGAGAGAAGCUCUGUUCUGGGAGGCGCUCAGGGCGCAGUGUCUGGAUCCAGAACUCACCACUUUCAACGAGGUGGACGAACUCAAGCAAGCACUCGUGGAUCUGCGGAACGGUUGGCUGAUGGUCUUUGCCGUUGCCAAUGCCAUCUGGCUCACCCUCAUCCUGGUCCUCACACAACAAUCCGAACUGGCUGUCCUGGGUUCUAAUCCCAUCGGCCUGGCAACGGCGCUGUGCUUUGGUGUCAUCCAGGCCGUCCAGUUCCUGGCCAUGUUGUUCCACCGCGGCCUCACCCUGAUGCACCACACUGCUCGGAUACCCUACCCGACACGGCGUCCAACCUUCAAGGACAAGACAAGGAAGGGCGGUGAGAGGCUGAGCGUCCAGGCCAUACCCACCAGGGGAGAUGUGACGUACAACAAUUCAGUAACUCAUCGACAAAACGGUGUGGCGUACUUUAACCGUGCCUUCUCAUACGAUGAGGAUGAAAGAGAAACAGUUCCAAAGGUGUGAUGGGAAGGUUCUAACAUUCAGGAAGGACAAAAAGAUAGGCUCACUCCAACAAAUGAAGUACUUAGUCUAGUAUUAGUGGAACUCUUAAGUAUACUUAUCAAAAGAGCAGGGGUCCUUCCCAGUGUAAGUGGUUCAAACCUUACAGUCUUGUCUUGGAUGAAGAGUCUUGAAAAGGUGAUAGUCACCUGUUGUGUAAAUCCUUCCACAAAUGUGGUAAAUCGAAAUAAAUUAGGCAUAAAUUUGGAUACUCUGUGGAUUAUCUACUUGACAGAUGAGAGGGCGGUCCCAGAGUGGUUAUUUCUGGUCAUACCGUAGUUGGUAUUUUCUUCUUUAUGUAUGAUAGUUAUUGCUUUAUUCCAGUUUAUUACAAAUAUUUGAGUAUUGAUUUAAUUAACAGAUGAUCCCGAACCUCCUGAAAUUAGUAAUAAAGUCGAGAGAUGUAUUAAAGUUGAGAUAAAUGAAUAAAUCAGCUGAAUGAUAGAUGAGCUAAGUUGGAUUUUGAUGGACUUAUUUACAUAAGGACUGUAGGAGGUAUAAAGAACACAAAUGUUUGCCAUCAUUGUACUUAACCAAGCAAACUUGGUUUUAUGGAUAAUGUCUUAGAUAAUGCAAAAUAUGAUGGAAUAAGUUCAGCUCACUUCUUAGUUUUAUGGCAACAAAUUGUAAGAAAUAAACUCUUUGUUAACUUGCUGCAGUGUACAUGUAUAUAUGAUGGAAUGGAUGUACUUAAUCGUGUCAUUGUCUUAUAAUGAUUCUUUUACAUAGAAUCUGCAAACUAGAUCAGAAUGAAAGUUUUUGCUUAUUUUUUUUUAAACUAGAUAUGGAGAAUAUCCUGAAGGUAGUCAACAUCUUGACAUGCAUGAUACAAGUUUAUGUUGGGUCGCUUGUUCCCUUUGAAGCUUAGAAUGUUUGUUACACAUACUUUGCAAGCAGCAACUGUAUACAGUGAUUCUAAUAGGUGGAUCAUAAUUCUAUGCUUGCUUGAAGUGAUAGCUGUUGUAAAGCUACUGAGAAGAAUAUUAUUUUGAAUAAUAUUCAAUGUGUUUUAGUCCCUCUCGCUGACUUUAAAAUGUGUGGGUGUAUUGUGUACAAAAUGCAGCCACUGUGGUGUUAUACUGUGAGAGGUAAGAGUGAUGCUUUAGUUCAAUUUGUAGAAGACAGCAGUUUGCCCUACAGGUUGUCUAUCCGACUCUAACGUCUAUUAUUUUUCAAAUUUAUUCUUCAUUGGAUAGCUUUAAACAAUGUUUUUUGAGUUGACAGGACUGACUGAGUGUACUUGCUCCAGUUAAGUGCGCUGUGCUCAGUACCUAUUUGACACGAAAUAAAGUUUUUUUA